GACGGACGCUGGCGGCGUGCUUAACACAUGCAAGUCGAACGGAAAGGCCCUGCUUUUGUGGGGUGCUCGAGUGGCGAACGGGUGAGUAACACGUGAGUAACCUGCCCUUGACUUUGGGAUAACUUCAGGAAACUGGGGCUAAUACCGGAUAGGAGCUCCUGCUGCAUGGUGGGGGUUGGAAAGUUUCGGCGGUUGGGGAUGGACUCGCGGCUUAUCAGCUUGUUGGUGGGGUAGUGGCUUACCAAGGCUUUGACGGGUAGCCGGCCUGAGAGGGUGACCGGCCACAUUGGGACUGAGAUACGGCCCAGACUCCUACGGGAGGCAGCAGUGGGGAAUAUUGCACAAUGGGCGGAAGCCUGAUGCAGCAACGCCGCGUGCGGGAAGACGGCCUUCGGGUUGUAAACCGCUUUCGCCUGUGACGAAGCGUGAGUGACGGUAAUGGGUAAAGAAGCACCGGCUAACUACGUG
rnacentral:rRNA from 1 species